GUUCCUGUUCGUGUAUUUGGAGUGCUAUAUGGGAUGCCGUUCGGGAGUUUUGAGCAUUCACUUAUUGGCGGUUCGUGUGUUUGGUGUUCUGCAGUAGCUGUGCCUGCAUCUCUGGAAAGGGGGCCGAUCGCCUAAACGUUUUUUACCCCUUUUGUGGUGAAACGGUCCGUUACAAUUCGUGGCAGCGGCGGGAUCGUUACCACAGACUACAG